rnacentral:rRNA from 1 species
UCUGGCGACAAUAGCGAAUGUGCACCACCUGAUCCCAUCUCGAACUCAGAAGUGAAACCGUUUAGCGCCGAUGAUAGUGUGGGCUUCCCAUGUGAAAGUAGGACAUCGCCAGAU